CCUGGCGUCAAUAUCGCGGUGUACCCACCUGACCCCAUGCCGAACUCAGAAGUGAAACGCCGUAGCGCCGAUGGUAGUGUGGGGUCUCCCCAUGCGAGAGUAGGGAACUGCCAGGC
rnacentral:rRNA from 1 species